UUUUUUUUCGUUUGUGGGAUUUAAAGAUCUCACUACUCGAUAAUAUCCAUCGUGGCUGGGAUUGAGGCUUGGAACUAUGCCUCAUGAACAAGGAAUGUCUAGUAAGUGCACUUCACAAAGAUGCGCUGAUUCUGUCCCUGUCCCUUGUACACACCGCCCGUCGCUUGAUCCGAUUGGUUGCUUUGGCGAGUUCUUCGGACUACUUGGAAUAAGAGGGUGCCUCGGCAUUUUUUUAUUUUGGGAAGGAAGUUGUGCGAGCCUAAGGAAUUAGAGGAACAAGAAGUCGUAACAAGGUAUCC
rnacentral:rRNA from 1 species